rnacentral:rRNA from 1 species
AUUGAACGCUGGCGGCAUGCUCUACACAUGCAAGUCGAACGGUAACAGGCCGCAAGGUGCUGACGAGUGGCGGACGGGUGAGUAAUGCAUCGGAACGUGCCCAGUCGUGGGGGAUAACUACUCGAAAGAGUAGCUAAUACCGCAUACGAUCUAUGGUUGAAAGCGGGGGACCGUAAGGCCUCGCGCGAUUGGAGCGGCCGAUGUCAGAUUAGGUAGUUGGUGGGGUAAAGGCUCACCAAGCCAACGAUCUGUAGCUGGUCUGAGAGGACGACCAGCCACACUGGGACUGAGACACGGCCCAGACUCCUACGGGAGGCAGCAGUGGGGAAUUUUGGACAAUGGGCGCAAGCCUGAUCCAGCAAUGCCGCGUGCAGGAAGAAGGCCUUCGGGUUGUAAACUGCUUUUGUACGGAACGAAACGGCUCUGGUUAAUACCCGGGGGUAACGACGGUACCGUAAGAAUAAGCACCGGCUAACUACGUG